UUUGUACUCCCUCCAUCCCAAAAUUCUUGUCUUAAAUUUGUCUAAAUAUGGAUGUAUCUAGUUACAUUUUAGUGUUAGAUACAUCCGUAUCUAAACAAAUGUAAGACAAGACUUUUGGGACGGAGGGAAUACUAC
rnacentral:pre_miRNA from 1 species